UCAGUUUACCUCAUUCAACCUUCACUGCAAUCAAGGAGGAAGCUUUAUCAUCCCUAUCUGACAGAACUGAGGACACGACUGAAGGAGAUUAAAAGCACAUUUGGAAAUACCGCUUUAGAUACUCUACAAGUUAACCUUGGAAUAAACCAGACUAUCAGAGAGCAUUGUCACUCACUGACGGAUUUCUUUCAUUCCUCUCUGCUUUGGCAUUAGGCAGUCAGCCACAUCAAGAGACUUCAUAAGAAACAGCCCUGUAACUCAUUUGUUGCUUUCCUGUAAGAAUGUUGUCAAGGACAUUAUUUACUUCAUUACAAAGGGUCUUCUUUGUGCUGGAGAAACUUCUCUCAGAUCUCUGUGCCAGGAAGAAUGGUGUUUCUCCCAAACACUGGGUUUGAUGUUACAGAUAGUACAAAUUAUAUAUCCAGGCACAUCCUCCUUUAGUGAGUAUAUACAAACUGGCUUCAUUUUUUUCAUCUUCCAACUUCUCCAUAAUAAUAUUUACUUUUAAAAAUGUUCUUAACAAUGAAUAUGACCAAGACAAUUUGAGGAAACCAAUCAUAAACUUUGUGUCAAUAUAGUAAGCAUGUUUCCUGCAGGGAGAUACCACUGUUCCCACUAAAAUAGAACACAACAAAAGGAGGCAGGAGAGAAAUGAAUGACUUAGGACCUGUCUAGAUUGAAAAGGCAAACUAGAAGUGGUGCACACCUAACUUGUUUGAAAAGACUUUGUCAACUAUUAUUCUUGUACUCUUGGCAUUUCUGUGUUCUCCUCAUUCCUAUUUCAUUCCUAUUCCCCUUUAAUAUUUCCUUUACAUACCUGAUACCUUCCCUCCCAAAAAUGGUGUGUGUCUAUGUAGUUCCUUGAUGAUUUUGUCAACGAAUAAUAAACCUUGGGUUUUGGAUAAGGAGGUGAAAAGAAAGGGCUCUGCUUGAUUCUG
rnacentral:lncRNA from 1 species